ensembl:ncRNA R09F10.16 ncRNA
AUUAUUUAUUGAAACGAGUGUGUUUCAGUAUAUACAAAAAUCAAAUUCAAAAGUACACUGAUCUUCUACUUUCUGCGGCAACAUUGUCCUUGCCCACAUGGAGAAUAGUUCGAUUGACAUGAACACUGGUUACUUUGUGGUGCCUGCUGGCAAGCGACAGUAGCUGGUUGAGCUGCUUGGCAAGAGCUUGAGCAUGAAGAUUGGCAAGCAGAUUGGCACUGUGCGACUGGCUGUUGUUGUUGAACACAUUGUUGUUGGCAAGACUGUUCACAUUGUGGAGCACAUUGCGAGGAUUGAGCAACAGAGGCUUGAAGCACAAUUUGAACCACUUGUGGAGCUGAAGUUGUGGUUGGAU